rnacentral:rRNA from 1 species
CAAUAAGCGGAGGAAAAGAAACCAACAGGGAUUGCUCUAGUAACGGCGAGUGAAGCAGCAAUAGCUCAAAUUUGAAAUCUGGCGUCUUCGACGUCCGAGUUGUAAUUUGUAGAGGAUGCUUCUGAGUGGCCACCGACCUAAGUUCCUUGGAACGGGACGUCAUAGAGGGUGAGAAUCCCGUAUGCGGUCGAGAAAGGCGCUCUAUACAGUGACGCUCCUUCGACAGAUGUCGGAGUUUGUUGUGGGGAAUUGNACGCUCUAUAAUGGGGAGGGUAAUAUUUCUUCUAAGACGCUAAUAUAUGUGGCACAGAGACCGUAUACGCGCACAAUGUACGAGUGAUGCAGAAUAGUAUGAAAAAGACACUUGAGGGAAAGAAGAGCUAAAAAAGCACGUGAAUAUUGUUGAGAAAAGGGGAACGGGAUUUGCGUACCAGAACUUUGCUCCGCGGGUUGUGACCGUCCGGGUCCUUCUGGAACCCGGUUCUACCUCCGCCCGGCGUUUUGCAGGGGCCAGUCAUACGUCCUGGGUUGCCCGGCUGGGAUAGGGACUUGAAGGGAAAUGUACGCUCCCCUCGGGGAGUGUUGAUAGCCCUCUUGGUGAUGCAGCUAGGCGCGGGGCCGAGGUUCCGCGCCUUGCGGUCUAGGGAAUUGCCUGGGCGUUAUAAUUUGGUUCCGUUAAAUUAACCCGCCCCCCGGUUCUUUUGGGCAAAAACCCACCCCGUGGAACCCCAAAAAGGGAAAAGGAAAAAUUCAAACCUUAAAGUUGGGGCAGGGCCCCCCGGGCCCUUGACCAUGGGGGUUCAAAACCCAAUUAAUUGGGGGGGAAA